rnacentral:rRNA from 1 species
CCCUUAGAUGUUCUGGGCCGCACGCGUGCUACACUGAGUGGAUCAGCGGGUCAGGUUGCGCGAAAGCGUUUCCUAAUCUUUAAAUCCGCUCGUGAUGGGGAUUGACGGUUGCAAUUUUCUGUCAUGAACGAGGAAUACCUUGUAAGCGCGGGUCAACAUCCCGCGCUGAAUACGUCCCUGCCCUUUGUACACACCGCCCGUCGCUCCUACCGAUUGAGUGGUCCGGUGAGGCUUUGGGAUCUGAGCGGAAAGAGCGUUUCGCUGUUUCUGCUUGGAAAACUCAGUCGAACCUUAUCAUUUAGAGGAAGGAGAAGUCGUAACA